AGCAGCCGCGGUAAUUCCAGCUCCAAUAGCGUAUAUUAAAGUUGUUGCAGUUAAAAAGCUCGUAGUUGAACUUCGGGGUUUACCCAUUGGUCAGGCUUAAUUGUCUGCACUGGUGAGAUGAAUCUCUACCUUCUGAGGAACUUUCAUGCCAUUUAUUUGGUGUGAUGGGAAAUCAGGACUGUUACUUUGAAAAAAUUAGAGUGUUUAAAGCAGGCUAACGUCUGAAUACAUUAGCAUGGAAUAAUGAAAUAGGACGGACUGAUUCUAUUUCGUUGGUUUCUAGGAUCACCGUAAUGAUUAAUAGGGAUAGUUGGGGCAUUAGUAUUCAAUUGUCAGAGGUGAAAUUCUUGGAUUUAUUGAAGACUAACUACUGCGAAAGCAUUUGCCAAGGAUGUUUUCAUUAAUCAAGAACGAAAGUUAGGGGAUCGAAGACGAUCAGAUACCGUCGUAGUCUUAACCAUAAACUAUGCCGACUAGGGAUCGGACGAAGUUAAUUUUAUAAUGACGCGUUCGGCACCUUACG
rnacentral:rRNA from 1 species